rnacentral:rRNA from 1 species
UACGUAGGGUGCGAGCGUUUGUCCGGAAUUAUUGGGCGUAAAGGGCUCGUUAGGCGGUUUGUCGCGUCGGGAGUGAAAACACCGGGCUUAACUCGGUGCUUGCUUCCGAUACGGGCAGACUAGAGGCAUGCAGGGGAGAACGGAAUUCCUGGUGUAGCGGUGAAAUGCGUAGAUAUCACUCGGAAGGCCAACGGCGAAGGCAGGUCACUGGUGCGCAACUGACGCUGAGGCACGAAAGCGUGGGGAGCAAACAGG